ACUCCCGGUGGGCAAACCCGUGCGAAAGCCGGGGACGCAAAGCCGCAGGUCUAAGGUUCCCUGCAAAACACCUGGGUGGGGAGCUAUGACGGCUGGGUUGCAGGG
rnacentral:ncRNA from 2 species